rnacentral:rRNA from 1 species
AUCAACUUUCGAUGGUAGGAUAGAGGCCUACCAUGGUGGUAACGGGUAACGGGGUGUUAGGGCACGACACCGGAGAGGGAGCCUGAGAAACGGCUACCACAUCCAAGGAUGGCAGCAGGCGCGCAAAUUACCCAAUCCCGACACGGGGAGGUAGUGACAAUAAAUAACAAUACAGGGCCUUUACAGGUUUUGUAAUUGGAAUGAGUACAAUUUAAAUCUCUUAACGAGGAACAAUUGGAGGGCAAGUCUGGUGCCAGCAGCCGCGGUAAUUCCAGCUCCAAUAGCGUAUAUUAAAGUUGUUGCAGUUAAAAAGCUCGUAGUUGAAUUUCGGGGUUAGUAGGUUGGUCAUGCCUCUGGUAUGUACUGGUCUCACUGAUUCCUCCUUCCUGAUGAGCCGUAAUGCCAUUAAUUUGGUGUUGCGGGGAAUUUGGACUGUUACUUUGAAAAAAUUGGAGUGUUUAAAGCAAGCUAACGCUUGAAUACAUUAGCAUGGAAUAAUGAAAUAGGACGUUCGAUCCUAUUUUGUUGGUUUCUAGGAUUGACGUAAUGAUUAAUAGGGAUAGUUGGGGGCAUUAGUAUUCAAUUGUCAGAGGUGAAAUUCUUGGAUUUAUUGAAGACUAACUACUGCGAAAGCAUUUGCCAAGGAUGUUUUCAUUAAUCAAGAACGAAAGUUAGGGGAUCGAAGACGAUCAGAUACCGUCGUAGUCUUAACCAUAAACUAUGCCGACUAGGGAUCGGAUGAUGUUAAUUUUUUAAUGACUCAUUCGGCGCCUUACGGGAAACCAAAGUGUUUGGGUUC